UCAGUGUGUGAGUAGAGUAUACAACAAAAGGCAUAUUGAUUGUUCCAUUCACUAUCCAUUCACUAUGCAUGUACAUGUAAUAAGAAAAUAAUAUACUAUUGAUAAAGUAGAUUGAUGGUGAGCACAUUUGCAUAAUUACUCUUAAAAAUAUUUAAGGCACUUGUCAUUUAAUUAAAGUAACUAAUAUUGAAAGAGUUAAGACCUGUUGACUCAUUAGCUGCACAUGUGUCACACUGUUGUUGAUGCGUGUAAAUUUCAGCUAUUAGAAAGUCGUUAAUUCUGCACUAGGUUAUUAGAAAUUAUCAAUAUUUGUUUACAUACUAAGACAAUUAAUUUCAAGGAUAUACAGUACGUAUUUAAUGGCUUUUAAUGAUUAACUUUAUUUUUAGAUUCUUCAAAAAAGAAAGUCAAAUAAAACAGAAUUUGAUUCCAAGUGCCCCAAGACCUUAGAUUAACUUUUUAAAACAUUUAAUUGUGUCAUAAUAAUUAUUAAAUGAUUUGAAAAUAAAAAUUCCUUGAUAACGUUA